UACGUAGGUGGCAAGCGUUAUCCGGAAUUAUUGGGCGUAAAGAGCGCGCAGGUGGUUGAUUAAGUCUGAUGUGAAAGCCCACGGCUUAACCGUGGAGGGUCAUUGGAAACUGGUCGACUUGAGUGCAGAAGAGGGAAGUGGAAUUCCAUGUGUAGCGGUGAAAUGCGUAGAGAUAUGGAGGAACACCAGUGGCGAAGGCGGCUUCCUGGUCUGUAACUGACGCUCAUGCGCGAGAGCUGGGUUAGCGAACCGGAUUAGAUA
rnacentral:rRNA from 1 species